AGAUGUGGGGUACAAGUGCCCAGGUGUGGGGUACAAGUGCCCAGCUGUGGGUGCAGGUGCCCAGAUGUGAGUCCAGGUGCCCAGGUGUGGGGUACAAGUGCUCAGGUAUGAGUCCAGGUGCCCAGGUGUGGGUACAGGUGCCCAAAUUUGGGAUCCAGGUGUCCAGAUGUGGGGUACAAGUGCCCAGGUGUGGGUGCAGGUGCCCAGAUGUGGUGCAGGUGCCCAGGUGCGGGCCCAGGUGCCCAGGUGUGCAGUGUGGGUGCAGGGCGUUGCAGGUGCCACCUGGGGAGCUCGGGGCCGGUGCCCCGGCACAGGGUGGCGCCUGUGAGCCAGGUGGUCACCGGGGCAGGUGACAGAGUGACCCGCGGGACACCUGGGACAGGUGACACCGUGAGCCAGGGGACAGUGACCAGGUGCCAGCUUUGGGGCCUGCAGGUGCCAGCUGACAGGUGACAGUGACCCAGGUGCCACAGGUGACACCGUGACCCAGGUACCAGCUGUCAGGUGACACAGUGACCCAGGUGCCAGGUGACACAGGUGACACAGUGCCCAGGUACAAGCUGCCAGGUGCCAGUUGUCAGGUGACACAGUGCCAGGUGCCCCAGGUGCCAGGUGACAUAGUGCCCAGCUGUCGGGUGACACAGGUGACACAGUCCCAGGUGCCAGGUGUGCCAGGUGUCCCAGGUGACACAGGUGACACAGUGCCCAGCUGUCGGGUGACAC